AUGCUCUGCUCCCUCAGCUCUGCUCCUGCAUGUCCAGAAGCUCACCCUCGCUGCAGUCAUAUCCUUCCUGACACUCCUCUGCUGCACACUGAAUUAUGGUCCUCUCCACCUCCAUCCUCUGAAGAGCUUCUCAGAGCAACACUUCCAGCUUCAAUUUCUUUUCCAAGAUGCCAAAAUUGCACCUCACACCAGACAUGGCAGCUGGUCCCUUUGUGGCACAGAGAGGGAAGGAAUCAACAAGUUGUAACUGUAUUUAUGGCUAUAAGCAGGAAUUUCAGAGCAGCCUUUAAGGAUCCCACUUGCUGUCAGCAGAGUACAGGACACAGCUCUGAACAGAGAUGCACUGCACAGCCCAGCCUGGUACAACACUUCCAACUGUGAUGUUCCAGUGAGAUUGUGUUCACUGGAACAGCAAAGGUCUCUCAGGUAAAAAUAUAAUUAUCAGUGUUGACACAUCACACUUGGACUACUUUUUAUGACAUAUUGUCUCCUGGGAGCUGAUCCCCCAGGUUUGGACUCAGCAGAGAAUUGGUGGAGUGUUUUUGUUUGUUUUAUGUUGGUGGAUUUUUUGUUUUGUGGGGGUUUUUUUGUUUGUUUGUUCGGCUUUUUGGGUGUUUUUUUUUGUUGUUGUUUUUCAAUAAGGAAAGCCAACUUAUCGGAAGGUGCUUCUGGUCAGAAAAGGUCAGCUUAUUUCUGUUCUUAUAGGGAAAGGUUUGCUCUUCAAAGUGGCUGGAAUAUGUAAAUAGUUCAUCAUUUUGUACAGGAAAUUUUCUGAUUCAAUUAAAAUUUCUAAUCUCAACUUCUAAGAUACUACUUCUAAAAACUUAUAAAGCCUCAAAACUAAAACAAUGUAAAUUUAGAAAUCAAGAUUCUAUUGACCUCAGCUUGAUUUUCCCCAUCAUAUUACAAUUAGGGAGCAAUUUCUAAAUGUUUCACAUUCUGGUCCAGCAAGAGAAGAAACUAUUUGGACCUCCAAGAGUUCUCAUGCAGGAAAACUCCUCCUUCCAGCCCACACCUGAGUGAUGUAUGAAACUAUUCUGUUUUCCCUUUUUCUCAUUAACUUUUUAAGAGCCCCUAAGCUUUGGUCCUUUCAGAGGAGCUUGUUAUGAGCAACAGAGUGUGCACAUGGCUGACCAAAUAUUAUCUCAUCCAUGGGGACAAGCCAGCUCUCUGCCAGCAUCAGCUCUGCCAGAUCUCUCCUGUCCACAUCCUGCUCUCCAGGUCUGCCAUCACCCAGUGUUAAUGCCUCUGAUUACAUUACUGUGGUAGCUCUCCUCUUCUUGUCCCAGCCUCCCUGGAUGUCAGUCAUAUGCUUAGUACACAGCACUUGUAUCAUGUUUUGAAAAACCACUCAGCUGCCACAGCCAUCUUAUUUCUCACU
rnacentral:lncRNA from 1 species